rnacentral:rRNA from 1 species
GACGAACGCUGGCGGCGUGCUUAACACAUGCAAGUCGAGCGGAGCGGCGAACGGGUGAGUAACGCGUGAGUAACUGCCACCCUCCCUGGGAUAACAGUUGGAAACGGCUGCUAAUACCGGAUAGUGGGGGAUGACUCGCGUCCUAUCAGCUUGUUGGUGGGGUAGUGGCCUACCAAGGCGACGACGGGUAGCCGGACUGAGAGGGGGACCGGCCACAUGGGGCUGAGAUACGGCGCAAACGCCUACUGGAGGCAGCAGGGGGGAAUAUGGCACAAUGGUGGAAACUCUGAUGCAGCAACGCCGCGGGCGGGAUGACGGCGUUCGGGUUGGAAACCGCUUGAUGCCAUGACGCGGUAGUGGCAGAAGAAGCACCGGCUAACUACGUGCCAGCAGCCGCGGUAAUAC